CUGCACUUGACAGUGGCGGUCGCCGGGCAGCCGAGCGGGCGCAGCGGCGGAGCGCGGCGCGGGAGGCAGGGAGGGCGCAAUUCGGCAGCCCCGGGUGGAGGAGCUGGCGGCGGCAGUGCGAUGCUGCGGGUGUCCCCGGGCUCUGGCAUCGCAGCCUCUUCCUAAGGUACCAGCUCUGUUCAACCUCCUUCCCCCCCUCCUCGCGCCGGGAGACCCGCGCGCCUGGGCAGUGGCUUUGUGGAGCCGGUGGGUGGGGCUGGGCGGGGCCGCACCGUCGGGUCGCUUCCCUCCGAGGAAGAGGUGGGGGAGGAGGGCCGUCUCUCCUGCAGCUGAAGGCAUCCCCACGCUACGUGCUCUGCUCCUCCUGCCUCGUUGCGUUUUCGAGGAGGGUUUGUUCCGGGACAAAGUUAGGUGCGGAGAGUUUGAUGGAUCCCUGGUUCCCGGGGCCCUGGAGGGACCCGUGACACACUGCCCUGUGCACCUACACCAUGCGCUGAACUGGAGCGCAGCGGACUCGUGCGCUUUCCCACACGAGCAGCCCUGCUCACUUGGAACGUUGCAAGAAGAAAUUGCUCUGUGGGACUCUCCCCGUGGGGAGAAGGCUUUCUGCAGUCGCAUCUACAGUCCAACCUGGUGGCUUUUGCUUGGCCACGGUGCCCCAGGAUAAACUGGGUUUAACCGGUGGCCUGUAAAAUAGUCUUCAUCAAGAUCUAUGCUUUACAGGAUUCAAAUCUAAGCCUAUUUUACUUUUGAACCAAAGAUCCCAGGCUCGUUGAGGAAAACCAGCCAGCUCCGUGUGUUGCAUUUAAUAUUUUAUUGCUCAUUGGUCACCACAGAAAGCACUGCUGGACCAGUGAUGGGAAGAUGAACAAUUAUGUCAACAGAAAGGGUGGUGACCAUGACAACUCUGAAGCAAUCCCAGGGAACCAGCACCUUGAAUUCUCAUUGCCCAGAGAACCCCAGUCUACAUCGUUACAGCUGGGCCUGCAAAGAUACAUCGGCUUCCAUCCCAGUGAUUGUGGGUUUCUGAGACGCAUCCAGGCUGCCCACUGAGGGGAGAAUAAUUGGUGUAGGUGGAAGGUCACCACAGAGUAUCUCCAGCUCCACAGUUAAAUUGUAGUACUGUGAAGAUAGACAAGGGCUGGGUCUUUUAUCUAACAGGAAAUAAUUUUAAUUGAAUCUUUUUAGUUAUAUACCAAUAAAAUUUAAACAUAAUUGCCUUUGUUAAGUAUUGUUAGCAUGAGGCUGAGUAAUGGAAAUUACAAAGAAAAUUUAAAACUUGCUUACUGAAUAUAGAGAAUGGAAUGAUAGAAAACUAACUCCACAAUUUUGGGGGAUGUUCUGUUAACUCAGAUCUGUUUUAACCUGGUGUAAUAAGAAACACAGAAAUGAUGGUCAUUGAGCAAGAUGUUUUUAUUACUCAUGUCCUCUUAGAAGGCUAGCUUGGCACAGUCACCAGGGCUUCCACACACAGAAACACCAGGCCAGAAGGCAGAAGGAGGGCGGGGUAGUAUGGACAGGAACAGGAGAGACAGGGUAGAGGGUAGGAGCUGGUUAGUUUGAAUCAUUUAAGCAGGAAGUCUGGAGAGGGGCAGUCCCUGGUGGUUCAUACCUGGCCCUGGGGUUAUAGUGGCCCACAGUGUGUGUGCUACUGAAGGAGGUGGGAUGGGCUCUGAUUAGUUAGCAAGGCCCUGUGGAUGUCAGAAUAUCAGGAUACAGAAACUGAAAACUGUCGUUAACACAUGAGGGUUUUAUUUUAAUGGUUAACUAAUGAAUUAGGCCUGUAGAUACAUAGAAUGUCCUAUAAAAGAAGCAGAAACACCUACCUUGGGGUCUGAUGGAUGUACUUACUCAGUAAACAUUAAUUAUAUCUGAGUCAUCAUGCCAGAUGGUCCAGCCAUGCUGCUCUUGGUCCUUAAUGGCCAUGGUAGUCAGGUGUGCAGUGUUUAUCCUGAGAAAGCCAGAGAGUGUGUACUGUAUAAUAAAGAUCCCCAUGGGUAAGCCAUCAGAAUGAAAAGGAGGCAUAACAUGUAUGUCCACUAAAAGCUAACAAACCAUUAACUCUGGGCUGUUGUGGCUGCCUGUAAUAAGACCCCUCAUAGAUCAAGGAGCUCAAAACUCUAGCCUGGAGAUAUUUGCAGUUGAUUGGUUAUGAGGGACAGAGAGUCAUUUUUCUUUGGGAUCAAGGUCACUGGUAGAUUGUCUGUGCUCCAGUGGAUGUCCCCACCCUGUGUGCAUGAACGUUUUUAAGUAUUUUCCACUUGCAACCUCUUGUCAGCCAACAAACUUUUACUUGACCCAGAAUGUAGAGGUGUCUUCAUUACUCUUCUAUUGCUGUGAAUAGAUGCCAUGAUCAAAGCAAUUUUUACAGAAGAAAGCCUUUAAUUGGAGUCUUGCUUGCUUACAGUUUCAGAGGUUUAGUUCAUUAUCAUCACGGUGGGGAGCAUGGUGGCAGGCAUGGCACUGGAGCUGAGAGCAAAUCCUGAUUUGUCCACAGAGAGAGAGAGACUGGGCUUAGCAGGGCUUUUGAAACCUUAAAGCCCAUCCCCAACAACACCCUUCCUCCAACAAGGCCACAUCUACUCAAACAAGACCACGCCUCCUAAUCCUUCUAAUUCUCAAAUAGUGCCACUCCUUGGUGACUAAGUAUUCAAAUAUAUGAGCCUAUGGGGGCCAUUCUUAUUCAAACUACACAGUAGGUAUAUGAAAUAGGCACAAAAAUGAAGCAUUUACUAAUAAUAAAUAAAAUUUUAUUUUAAAACAAUUCUUUGAUUCACACAUACAUUUACUAUUUAUUAAAGAUGACAGCAAAUUUGCAUACUAAUAAGAUGGAUCUGCUUGUUGUUUUGACAUAAAGAAUCAAAUUGUGGACUAAAUUUUAGGUCCUACAGGACACGGUACAUCCUCAGUGUUUUCCAGAGUUGAUCGAGAUUUUGACUGAUUCUCAAUACUGACAAUACUGUUUCUCAUAAAUGCAUAGUAUAAAAUAGUAGGGGUGUGUUAGGACCAUCUUAGAAAUGGUUGGAAAUUCUGUUUUAAACUUAGGCCAAAAUUCUUUAGUGAUUUCCUUUUUUUAUGACACUCAAGUCAGCAACACAAACAGCAAUUUUUAAAAUCAAUCAUUCUAAGAACAGGGUCCAAAGGUACACUAACAGGAGAACUGUGUGGUGGGGGGUGAUGGUAGGAAAAUAUUAAAAAGUCUUUGUUUCCCAUAACUAGGCUAUUUAAUUCUAUAAAAACAAAAGGCUUUGCAUGCUCAUUAAGAACUCUACAAUGGACAAUGUGCUGCAGUCUCAAAUUGGAGUGGAGAUAUUUUGAGCUCUGUCCCUUGGCAGGUGGUGAUGGCACGUGCCGUGCAGAGCAUGCUGUAUGUUCACUACCAACAUCGCAGUGAAGUCGCAGGACAUAGCACAGGCGAAUGCUGCUAGAAACACCUCAGACUUGUACAGGUUUGCUUUGGGAUUCACUUUUGCUUGCUGUGUGUUCAGAAGCCUUUUUACUGUGGCUCACUCUUGUGAUUCACAGUUUAAGCAACUGGGUCCCAAGCAGUGAUGUGACUAUUGGAAUUUACUAGUGUUUACAUUAUAUUGAGUACUGUAAAUCUUCUCUAGGUGUAUGUAGGGCAAAAUGCAUAUAAACCUAUGAAAAUCUACACCACUGUAUUUAAGCAUCCAUGAAUUUUGGUAUCCCUGGGGGUCCAGUUCCCUGUUGAUACGGUGGGUGAUGAUAUUGGGUGUUCAGGGAAUUAAGCAGAUCUGGACUAGCUGUCCCUUUGUGCACAACAUGAGAGGCAAUCAAUGUUUGUGGAAGGCUGUGUGGUUAGUCUCACCCCAAGGGCUUUGCAUUUCCUGUUUAGAUUGUUUAUUCUCCCAUGUGGUGUGGCCAGUUAUUGUGGCUGUCUUACAGACCAGGGAACUGAAGAACAAACACGUUAGGUCUUUUCCCAAAGUCACCUUGACAGUCAGUCAGUGAUUGGGUUGGAAAAAGAGCCCAGCAUAUCCCAAGAACUGUCACUUCAGCACUGGGCAGUGCUGUGCAUGGGCACAUGGGCUACCUUGUCUGUUACAAGGAUUAAUUGGCUCUACACUGUACAGACAUUUGCAUCAGGCAUCCAAUGCACAGAUGCUUCCAAUGCUACUGCUGAUUUGGGAAUCACUCUUGUGUAAAGGUCUAGUGAACCUUGAUGUUUUCUCUCAGAUUCCGCCCAGCCAUGUCCACUGUCAAGGCAAGGCUUCCCUUGCCCUUGGUCAUCAAACACAUGCACAACUCCCUUCCCUACUUCUCCAAGUCCUACUUAGAACUCUUUUCCCCAGAAACUCAUCUCUUCUCACAUGAACAAUUGGACAAGUGUGGGAGGCAGAAGGAAAAUGAGGCACUUUUAAAUGCAGGGGAGCAGAAUGCUCUCUAUUCCCUGCAGAAGGCUGCACCCACUCCUAUAGCAGUAGAAUCGAAUCCCCCAAAAGUAGAACAAGAGGAAUGCUUCCAUUCAAGACUCAUGUGCCAAGACUAGGAGCAGUCAUCUUUAUUUGCCAGCCUUUGAAUUCUAAAUGUGUUUUCUUCUCCAGUAGCAAGAAGACCAUAUUUAGCUUCCUGUGUCUAUUGAAGCAAUAACUAAACAGUGUAUUUAAUAGCAGAGUCCACAGCUCCAAGUACCCAGCAGAUCUUGAAUUUUCUUGCAAAUAUACUGGAGCCGGCCAGUGAAGUUGUCACUGUGCCCCCUAGCCUUUCCUUAAAGAAAUCUUGAGGCACUUGGGAAUUUUGAGAAAUAGUUUUCACAUUGCUCUUUAAUUCUCACAAGUCCCUAGUCGGUAAGUGACUUCUAGUCAAUGCGAUUUCAAAUUUUUAAAAAAUGAAACUUAAUGCAUUUUUGUAGGUGUAUGUGUGUGUGAUGUGCAUACAUGUGUAUGUGUCCAUGCAUGUAUAGGUAGGUGUGUGUGUGUGUG
rnacentral:lncRNA from 1 species